UAGAGUGGUUAUACCUUUUCGAUGCAAUCAAACCACUAUAACCAAUUGAGAAUAAUCAAUGCUAGGAAGGCACUCGCAUCUUUAUAAUAAUAGAAGACUUUUAGACUUAAUAUUUAGUGAAAAGAUUCAAGUUUAGAUUUCUUCUAAAUUAGUAGAUCUGACAUCUGACUGAUCAAAUUUAGGUCAGCACAUCAACAUAUCUAACCAGCCU
rnacentral:lncRNA from 1 species